CCUACGGGUUGCAGCAGUGGGGAAUAUUGCACAAUGGGCGCAAGCCUGAUGCAGCCAUGCCGCGUGUAUGAAGAAGGCCUUAGGGUUGUAAAGUACUUUCAGUUGGGAGGAAGGCGUUGAUGCUAAUAUCAUCAACGAUUGACGUUACCAACAGAAGAAGCACCGGCUAACUCCGUGCCAGCAGCCGCGGUAAUACGGAGGGUGCAAGCGUUAAUCGGAAUUACUGGGCGUAAAGCGCACGCAGGCGGUUGAUUAAGUUAGAUGUGAAAUCCCCGGGCUUAACCUGGGAAUGGCAUCUAAGACUGGUCAGCUAGAGUCUUGUAGAAGGGGGUAGAAUUCCAUGUGUAGCGGUGAAAUGCGUAGAGAUGUGGAGGAAUACCGGUGGCGAAGGCGGCCCCGGACAAAGACUGACGCUCAGGUGCGAAAGCGUGGGGAGCAAACAGGAUUAGAUACCCGCGUAGUC
rnacentral:rRNA from 1 species